rnacentral:lncRNA from 1 species
UAAAAAUUGAUUUUAGAUUCCGAUACUGGCAAGUUCGGAUGAAGGAGGGAGAUGAAGCAAAGACUACGGUGGUAACCAAAUAUGGAGACUUUGAAUUUAAAGUGAUGCCUUUUAGUUUAACAAAUGCUCCAGCAACGUUUUGUACUAUGAUGAAUCAAGUAUUUAACGGGUUCUUAGAUGAUUUUGUCGUAGUGUACUUAGACGACAUAAUAAUCUACAACAAGACAUUGGAAGAACAUGUGCAACAUGUGAGGCAAGUUUUUAAUCGACUACGGGAGAAUUAACUCUAUGCCAAAUCGUCUAAAUGCUCAUUUGCUCUAACAUCUAUCAGUUUUUUAUGUCACAUUAUUGAUCAAGAUAAAAUUUACAUGGAUUCGAAGAAGGUUACAGUCAUCAAAGAUUGGCAACCACCAAAAAUCGUACAUGAUGUACGUUAAGAUUUGUGAAAUGCUACUCAGAAAUUGUACUGCCAUUUACCGAAUUGACAAAGAAGGAUAAGGAUUGUGAUUGAUCGUCCCAAUGUCAAACUACUUUUGAAAGGUUGAAGAAGUCCAUGUGGACGAACUUGAUUUUAGCCUUAUCGAGUAUGACUAAAUCAUUCGAAAUUCAUACAGAUGCUUCAGAUUUUGCACUUGGUGGAGUCCUUAUGCAAGAAGGACAUCCGGUAGCAUAUGAAAGUCGAAAGUUAAACCAAACAGAACGUCAUUACUCGGCGCAUGAAAAGGAAUUGUUGGCAGUAGCCCAUUAUCUUAGAGGAUGACGUCACUAUUUGCUUGGGUCUUCAUUUAUUGUGAAGAUAGAUAACACUGCGGUUAGUCAUUUCAUGUCUUAAUCAAAACUAUCGAGCAAGCAUGCUCAUUUGUAGGAAUUUCUUUCAGAGUUCAAUUUUAUGCUAGAGUAUCGUCCUAGAUCUAGUAAUCAUGUUGCUGAUGCUCUUAGUCGAC